AUAAAGGUAGGAGGUUCUCAGAGGGUUUUCAGUUGUCCUGAGAGCUGCAGCUGCUCUUGUCCUGUAAGAGUGGAUUCCAUUACUUCCCACUCUCCAGGUCCUGCCCCUACUGUGAGGUCUCAGCAUGUCCAGACCCUGCUCAAGUUGUGACCCUCCUGAGGAACCCACCCCUGGUGUCCCUCCAGUGCCAAAGCCCAGCAGCCCGCUGACACCAGUGCCACCCAACCCAUGGCCAGAAGUACCACCGAAACCUGACUACCCCCAGCCAGUGGGGCCUCUCGUCCCAGGGAAGCCCUGGCCAGCCGGGCCUGCGGUGCCACCUGAACCCAGACACCCAACACCUCCUGGGAGUGAUCCAGCUGGUCCAUCACCGCACCCACUGGGGCCUUUGCCAACCCCCACACCGCCCAAGCCACCGCUGCCUGAUGAUCCAUAUCCUCCAGGACCCGGAAUCCCAGUUGCCCCUUGGCCACCACUGCCCGAGUGGGAUGAUUCUGGGAAACCUCCCAAGGACCCUUCUGAUUCUAACUAGAUCUCUUCUCUCCCCUCUCUUCCCUCCCCUCUCCCAGGACUGCCCCCAUCUCCCCAGGCCUAUAAAGCCCUUACCAGCUCCACCUGCACCCUGCGCUCCCCAUAUGGACCUUCCAUGUGCCUGUUCUUCCUGCUCCUGGAGCUCUGCUCCUGUGCAAGGGCAUGUGGCAGUUCACAAAUGGACCUGGACUUUGGGUGGUUGUCAGUCCUGAGCCUUGUUGGAUCAGAACGAAGUGCUGGGCCAGUAGAUUGGCAUCUUCCCCUGAAAGUGCUAGGCUGUGUGGUCCCAGAGGUGUGCCACAUUGAAGGAGUGCCUGUCUGUCAGACCAUUUCUCUAGAGGCCAGUAGAUUUGUCUUCAGUCUCAUCCAUCCCCAUACAGAGCUAUCCAUCCAUCUGUCCACCCACCCUCCCUCCCCUCUUACCAAUGCUACAGUCCCCUUAUGAAUCCCCAUUGUGUCCUCCAUUUUCCUGCCCAGCUCCAGCCCAGUGGAUGCACUGCUCUGUACUGCCUUCUGUCACCCCUGGAGGCACUGGAGUCUCUACCCAUCUGUACCCCCAGCAGCUGGGCUGCCAGGUCAGAGGGUGGCUGAGAGUUGGGUUUUGCUUUUCUCAUAUAUUGUUAUUUGAAAUAAAGCUCUUAUUAAAUUA